rfam:TPA: Bos taurus chromosome 2, whole genome shotgun sequence.
UCCCUGGUGGUUUAGUGGUUAAAACUCCAUGCUUCCAAUGCAAGGGACUCAGGUUUGAUCCCUGGUCAGGGAA